UGUGUUUUAGGCGUGAAAUUGUGUGUACGGCCCGAACAAAUGGAUUUUGUCUGUAACCCUAAUUCUACAGACGCGAACCCAUGGAGUUCUGAUUCAAUCUUCCUUCUAUGGCGGGCAGUGACGCCUGAGCUUCAUCUCAGUCUCUGAAACGGUCCGAUUGAUGGCUUUUCAUGUUUAACUCCAUUCAUGGACUCACCCACGAUGAGUAAUUCAAUGCGUGUUUAGAUGUACAAGGUGGUGUGAUCUCGGGUAUAUAUAGGUCAAUAUUUCUCUUCUUGGAAUCAUCAUUUCUUCAUAUCUCUUAUAAUAUACUAAUAUACUGAGAUUUUGUUUCGAUUAGAUUGUGUUUUACGCUAGAUUGAGAAAUUCGAGUUAGUGUUUUAGAUGAGCCAUUGGGGUUUCUUCAGUUGGUUCAAAGAAUAUGGCCGCUUCAAUCUCAACAACACUUAUUCGCACUGUUGGAUCCUUCGCAGAUUUAGGUCGCAGCAGCAGUAUUUUCUCAGUUUUUAAGCUCUUUCUUAUAUGCAAAAACGUGAAUCUUUUUUUCUUUGAUCUCUAAUUACUUCUCUGUCUCUUUGGAACAGCGAAUGCAUCUAGAAAUUGUUUAAGCUCUCUUCCAUGUAAUCUCAAGGUUGAUGGCAGGAGUCAAUAUUUAUGCCAGCCAACCGUCGAUGUCAUCUCCUCUGUACUCUUCGCCUAUUUGAAGGCUGGCUGUCAUUACUCCGUCCGGGUCCGCCUCCUAAGCUUUUGAGAAACAAGGAAUAUGAAGCACUACGGCAAGCUUAUGGGGUUGACAUACUCCUACUCGACCCAAAGGCGGUGGUGACGGCAACGAUGGUGUUAGAGCGACCAGACUAAGUCGGAGAGAUUCUACUGUACAGUAAGCGCCAGUGAGGUUGUUAAGUCUCAUCCUGGUCAUCAUCUCUCCUCAUCUCCUCCUCUGUAGCUCUAGACGGCUCUCUCUGCAUCAUUCAAAUCAAACUACUUUGUCCUUCUGAUAGCUCUUGCUCGGACAUGCAUAUACACUCAUCUGUUCUGAAAGGUUUGGCUCCCGACAACUCUGAACCAUUACUUCGAUGGAGCCACUGUUAGCUAUUGUAGCAGAGAAACAUAAUGUUGCAGUGCCGGCCACGAUCUACAAUAGAAAACAUUCCAAAUAACCGUCAAGAGAUUUAGUUGGUGGAACUGAGGACAAAUCCCUGAUGUUCUAAGUAGUAUGCUUAAUGUAUAUUCAUCCCUGAAUAAGAUCAUGCAGCUUAGUAGAAAGGAGCAAGAUAAUCUCUUCCUAGGAACGUGAAGCAACUUCAAGUGGUCUCAUCAACAAAAAAAAAAAAAAAAACUCUGGCCCCAACAUCUACCAAGUUGACCAAGAAGACCCUCAUCGCCAAGGUGGAGUAUGCAAUAUCGACAUUAGUACCUUUUAUGCUUCUGAAUCGCUGUUGUCUUUUUUCAAUAUAUGCAGUCCACAGGAUUUAAAAAACAUCAAAAGAUACAUUAGUAGUUUUUUUUAAACUA